rnacentral:rRNA from 1 species
AUGGCAACCAAUAGCCUUCUCCUCGCCGCUCUCCUCCUCUUCGUCGUCAGCCUCGUGCCGCGCGGUGCGGAGGCGGACAAGCAGCCUCCGCUGGCCCUCGUCGCCGGCGUGGUGCCAUGCAGCGCGGGGAGCUCCAUCAACGUGGCUGCGGUUCCGCCGUUCCCGAACGCCGUCGUCCACAUGGUGUGCGGCGGCAGGGUGGUGGCCGGCACCAAGGCGGACGAGAGAGGAGCAUUCACCAUGAACAUGGGAACGGUCACCUCGUCGCUGCUCGCCCCUCUGCUCGGCAACCAGUGCAAGGUGGUGGUGGUCACCCCGCUAGCCGCGUGCAACGCGUCCCUGGCCAGCGUCACCGGGACGCUGGCCGCACCGGUGCAGCUCCUGGGUGCUGACAGCGGCGGCGGCCUCGGAGGACUUGGCGGCCUGAUAGGCCUCAUCGGCCAGAUCGUGGGUGGCCUCCUCGGCGGCAUCCUUAACAUCAUCCCCUUGCCCUUCUCCCUCGUCUAG